rnacentral:lncRNA from 1 species
GUUGUAAGUGAUAGGAAUUUCUCCUUCUCCUCCUUCUAUGGCGAAUAUCAAAACUCAGAAAAUCACUCCAGCGUACUUACUAAAUUCGACGACACCAUCGACCUGAUGGAUGAGAAGAGAUGACUUCUCCUUCGCCGAAGAGAAAAUUAGAAACGUCGAUGGCGUCUUCUCUGGCGCGAGUAAAAGGUAUGGAAUAUCUCUAGUAAUGGUUUCUCCUCUCCCUUCCGUUAAGCUUUGUUGGUGUUCUUUAUUGCAAUGUGCGGUUUUUGUUUAUUGUUAGAUGACAUUUGAACCAAAAAGAUCCCCAAUUUCUCCGACAAAAUAAACAAUUACAGUAGAUGGGGAUUUCUUCUCUCUCUUUAUUUUUAUUGGUGUUGUGAAUUUUGAUAUAAGUAUACACCCAAAUAUUGCUUGUGUAGUACAAGAUGUGCUUUAUAUUUGCAAAACUCCCCUUUAGAUGAUUGCAACUUAAGCGUUUACAUCAAUCAAAUAUAUUUCUAACUACAAAUUGCGUUUCUUGAGCUUUCUUAGCUAGGCAAUAGCAGUUGGGGCAACUUUUCUCUUAGAUGAUUGUUGUUAUAUUGAGGUUAACUAGCUGCACAUUUGGAUAUUGAAUCAAGAAUGAGGACCUUGAACUUUUAGUUUUUCUUUCCCUGCAAAGGGAUGCCUCUCUCUCUCUCUCUCUGUUUCUCAUAUCUUUCAUAUCGUCGCUACAAGUUAUGUUUACUUAAUUUUUUUGAUGCUAUGUUCGCUUAAAUAUAGUUCAAUAUACGAAGAUGUUCGUGCUUCAUAGUUCAACAUUCCACCUUAAUAUGCCAUCUUCUUAUUUGCUCUAAAGUCAUAAUAGUUUUAAGAAUAUUUUUUGCUUUUAUUGGCUUUUUAGUUGUACUUCUUUCAUGUUUGGUUUUGCACUGCAUAUCUGGAAUAUAGAUUUCGUCAAUCUAAGAUAAAAAGUCCACAUCUAAUAUGGAUUGUUGAUUUAGUUUGGGCAUUUCAUAGGAUUAUUGAAUCUAAUUAAAUGGAGUAGUACUUAUUUCAUGUUUGUUUAGCUGUUUACUUUGUUUUGCUUAACUUUCUCUCUCUCUUCUUUUUUUUUUUUCCUUUAUAUAACUUUAUUUUAUUAAGAGAGAAUAUGAAAACUAGAAUAAAAGAGAAGCAGGGUGAAGAAGAAAUCACUUAUAAGUUUUAGAUUUUUCUUGGUUUUGCAAAUAAGAAAUGUAUUGUUUCGAGGAAUGUGGAUCUUUUGGGCUAUUAGGCAUUCUCUAUGCUUCCCUUUGAGAGCUUUGGUCUCUUGACUUGUGAACUUUAUCUUCUCACAAAACUUGCUAUUGCUAUUUCCUUUUGAGUUUCGAGUGAUAAGUUGUUUUGGUUUUAAUGAAUCUGCAGCAAGAGAUAUAUGUAGAGAUGAGGAAAUCUAUGAAGCUCAGAUCGGCACAUGAUUAAUUUCAGAAUGAUGUGACAAUGUUAAGAACUUUGAUAUUUAUUUGUAGCUCGAGUUGCAUAUUUUCAUUGCAUA